rnacentral:rRNA from 1 species
CGUAGGUGGCAAGCGUUGUCCGGAAUUACUGGGCGUAAAGGGCGUGUAGGCGGCCUUUUAAGUCAGACGUGAAAACCUGGGGCUUAACCUGAGGAGUGCGUUUGAAACUGGAAGGCUUGAGGAUCGGAGAGGGCAGUGGAAUUCCCAGUGUAGCGGUGAAAUGCGUAGAUAUUGGGAGGAACACCAGUGGCGAAGGCGGCUGCCUGGACGACACCUGACGCUGAGGCGCGAAAGCUAGGGGAGCAAACGGGAUU